rnacentral:rRNA from 1 species
GACGAACGCUGGCGGCGUGCUUAACACAUGCAAGUCGAACGGAAAGGCCCUGCUUUUGUGGGGUGCUCGAGUGGCGAACGGGUGAGUAACACGUGAGUAACCUGCCCUUGACUUUGGGAUAACUUCAGGAAACUGGGGCUAAUACCGGAUAGGAGCUCCUGCUGCACGGUGGGGGUUGGAAAGUUUCGGCGGUUGGGGAUGGACUCGCAGCUUAUCAGCUUGUUGGUGGGGUAGUGGCUUACCAAGGCUUUGACGGGUAGCCGGCCUGAGAGGGUGACCGGCCACAUUGGGACUGAGAUACGGCCCAGACGCCUACGGGAGGCAGCAGUGGGGAAUAUUGCACAGUGGGCGGAAGCCUGAUGCAGCAACGCCGCGUGCGGGAUGACGGCCUUCUGGUUGUAAACCGCUUUCGCCUGUGACGAAGCGUGAUUGACGGUAAUGGGUAAGGAAGCACCGGCUAACUACGUG